AGAAACGGGGAGGAAGGUGGGGAUGACGUCAAGUCAGCCAUCCGUCCUUAUGCCUUGGGUUACACACACGCUACAAUGGGUGGUAUAGUAGGCAGCGAUAGAGCGAUCUGGAGCUAAUCCUAAAAGCCAUCCUCAGUUCGGAUUGCUGGCUGAAACCCGCCAGCAUGAAGUCGGAGUUGCUAGUAACCGCGUAUCAGCAUGGCGCGGUGAAUACGUUCUCCGGGCCUU
rnacentral:rRNA from 1 species